CAGUAGCCGCGGGAAUACGAGGGGAGCUAGCGUUGUUCGGAAUUACUGGGCGUAAAGCGCGCGUAGGCGGCUUUUUAAGUCAGAGGUGAAAGCCCGGGGCUCAACCCCGGAAUUGCCUUUGAAACUGGAAAGCUAGAAUCUUGGAGAGGUCAGUGGAAUUCCGAGUGUAGAGGUGAAAUUCGUAGAUAUUCGGAAGAACACCAGUGGCGAAGGCGACUGACUGGACAAGUAUUGACGCUGAGGUGCGAAAGCGUGGGGAGCAAACAGGAUUAGAUACCCCCGUAGUCCCUGUCUCUUAUAC
rnacentral:rRNA from 1 species